rnacentral:lncRNA from 1 species
GCACUUCGCAGUCUUCUUCAAGUACAUGAAAGAACUCAUACUGGAGAGAAACCACAUGAAUGUACUCAGUGCGGUAAAGCCUUUGUAAGUCGUAGUUAUCUUCAAAUACACAAAAGAGCUCAUGCAGGAGAAAAACUCUAUGAAUGUAUUCAAUGUGGAAAAGCCUUUGUAUAUCUCACUAGUCUUUGUAGUCACAGAAAGUUUUGUGCUGGAGAGAAAUCCUAUGGCAGUACUUGAUAUAAAGUUGGACCACUGAGUAACAAGGCAACAGACCUGCUUCUGGACCUAUGCAUUGUAAUCUUGUAGCACAUUGUUUACUCUCCUUAGAGUUAGUAGUUGCAUCCCUAUUAGGGUUGAAUAUAUGUCCAUCCCAGGCCAUUUAUGUGGCCAUUCUUCUAUGGUUGUAGCAGAGACAUCUGUUCUAGAGCCAAUUAAUCUUGUAAUGGUUUUCCUCUUCCAUUUAAAUACAUGAAUGUUUUAUGAUUCUCCUUCAAUAAAGUGCUUAAAGUUACAA